CUGGGGCCCGCCUUCUCCUGAGCGCUGUGCUUUGAGUUUGGAGCAGGUGACCAGGCCUGAGUCUCCCCGGCCGGGUGGCGAGACUCCCCGAGGACACCGAUGAAGAAAAUGAGACCCAGAGAAGAGAAGGAUUUCUUCAGGGUCACAUGGUGAAUAUGUCACAGCCAGAACUAGAACUCAGGGCCCUUCACAAACGGCUUGCUGGCCUUCCUGUUACACAUGGACCCCGAAGGCAUUCCGGUCUUGUCUUCUUCCAGAAGAAGGAUCCUCGUAUCUUGAAUGUUCUUUCUCCAUCUACCCCACCAUGUCCCACCACCAUAUAUCCGAAUGGUGUGCGAUCAUCAAGGUCCACCUUUGUCACCGCUGCGAUUCCCGUGGAUCCUGCCUUCCUCGGGACUUCUCUAGAGCAGAAGUCCAGAGGCAGGCGUUCCAGGGCUGGUGUGCUGUCCCAGAGUAAUCAGAGACCCAGACUCCUUCUGCCUUCUUGCUCCACGAUUGUUAGUAGCUUUCAUCCCUAAGUUUGCCUCUGCUUCAAAAGGAUUGUUGGAGCUCCAGCCAUCACACCUGCAUUCCAGGCAAGGAAAAGAGGAAGAGAGAAGAGCAAAAACGUGCAUCCCAGCUUUCUAUUCUCCAAGAUAUCGUACCCAGUAACCUCUGCUCACAUUUCAUUGACCAGAAUUUCACUACUUGGGUGCAGGGGACUCUGGGAAAUGUGGUUUUUCGAGCUGGGUGCAUGGCCACCUGGACUUAAACAAGAGUUCUGUUUCUAAGGAAGAACAGGAGAAUGAAGUUUGGUGGGCACCUAGCAAUUUCUGCCUCACUUAGCGCAGCAGUCAAGGCCUUGAAUGAAUUUUCACACCAGCGAGCUCAUUCUGUUCCUUCUUCCUGCUCAGCAGGCAUGUCUUGCAGAUGGGUCAGCAGGGCAAGUCCAUUAUUUGGCCGUUAGGUUUGGCUGCCCUGACUGACAUGCACCUCCUGAACAAGCCCGAGCUUUCUGCCUUCCGGUGCAGCACUUCUGCUGCUUCCAAGGUAGCAUCUGGAAACCCACGUAAAGGGCAGAGCCGCUAAUGACUCUCACUCUGUUCCCCAGCGAGCAGAGCAGUCUCCAUCCUACUGCCCUGGAACUGCCCACUGAGAAGACCCUGAGUUUGCACACGCUUGCCCGUGCAUACACACACCCCUCAAAGAAAGAAACCUCUUCUAGUGUUAGUACCUUCUCACCUGGAGCAGGAUACACAGUUUUCCUUACAGAUCCAAGAAGCAGCUACUGAGGACUACACAUGUUGCAGGCCAUAGAUGCCCUACGCUGGACCCUUCCACAUACAGAUUUGGAUCCACGGGCCCCCAAGGCAGUCACAGUGUUCACCAGAUUUUGCAGAUGGGAAAAGGCGGAGCUGCAGGAGGCCAGGUGACAUGCCAAGGUCCUGUGGCCAGGGAAACCUGUGUUCCACCCUGGUGACCACCUCCAGCAAUGAACUGUGAUGAAGUGACUUCUGAGGCUCGGUUGUAAAAGGUCAUCCAGCUUCUUCCCAGUUCUCUCUUUUGGGGCGUGCACCUAUGGAGCCCUGAGCCCCCAGGUAAGAUGUUUUAGUUACAUGGAAGACACCACGUUGGGGAGAGCAUGUGGCAAGACCAUGGAGAGAGAGAGAAGCUCAAGGAGCCUGAGCCACCACGGUGGCCCAGCAGAGCAGUGGAUCUGAGAGGGAGUGAGCCUUCAGGGGGGGGCCCAGCCCCAUCAUCCAUGUCUCCCCCACCCGACGCUGAAUGCAGCAGAAGAGCUCCCUGCCCAGCCCCACCAACACUCCAGCUUUAGAGGCAGAAGAAACAUGCGGCUGUUCUAAGCUCACAGAGUUUUAGGCUCUUUGUUAUGCAGCCGUAACUGACUGAUACAGGGCAGGAGGAGGCCAUUUCAGCAAGAGAAAGGUAAACACCGCUGCUGGUCCACCUUUAAAGAUGCAGACACUGGGAGUCACAGGAACAAAGUAGGUGGACACAGGACACCUGCCUGGUGACAGGAUCAAGACUGGGACCCAGAGAUGAGCUGGAGCCAAAGCUGUGUCCCCUGGUGGUACCUCCCAGUUCUGGAAUUCUACCCCCAGCUCUGCUGCAAACUGAUUGACCAGCCUGUAACAAGACUGUGUUCUCACCUGGGCAACAGAGACUCGCACCCUUGUACCUGUGGCCUGGCCCGACCUCUUCCUUUGGAUGCAUGAGGCUGGCCCCUGUGGGCCUAUAAACUUAGGCCUUUUUAGGCCAGUGGAGCAGGACCCAAGGACACUUGUAAGGAGGGGCUCCCCAGCAACAGUGGCAGUGGGAGAAAAUUGUGCUAUGGACCAUGGAGCUUUCUGCGAGGGAGCUAAGAAGUAUCUCUUUUGAGGUGCCUGGGUAGCUCAGCUAAGCAUCCAACUCUUGAUUUCGGCUCAGAACAUGGUCUUAGGGUUGUGAGAUCACGCCCUGUGUCCACACGCCCAGCGUGGAACCUGCUUAAGAUUCUCCCUCUCCCUGUACCCCUCCCCUGCCUCUAAAAAGAAGAAGAAGAAUCUGUUUCUCAAUGUCUAGCAUUUACCCUGUGUGGAGCACUGCUCUAAGGGUUUUGUGUAACCCUAAUUAAUUGUUACAGCAGCCCUGUGAGGUAGAGACCUGUUGGUAGGGAUAAGACAAUGGAGACACAGAGAGCUUACUGAAUUUACCUAAAGUUACGUGGCUAGUGAGGGCUGGGACUGGUAUUUGGAUCCAUCAGUUUGGUGGAAGAAUCCCGCAUGGAGUGGUGUUAAAACAGCUCUAUUCUCAGGCUGGUCCAAGCAGAUUCUGUGCUGUGUUUUCUUUCCUCUUCACAUCUCUUGUUCCUUGAUUGGAAUCUCUUAGAAAACAGGGAGACAUGGGCUGGAACCAAAAGGGGAGAUGGGGUGCUCCGGGCUUCUGUCUGGUCCCUGGGAUGCAUUCAGUGAAUAGCCCUUCCCAGCCCAAUGAGAAGACAGAGGUCUGAAAUGUCCCCGGAAACAUCUUCCCAUCUGAGCAGGCUCCGAGUCUCCGCAGUGCCUGUUGCCAUGACAAACAGCCAUUACCCAGAGCCAAGCAGAUCCUUCCAGAAACCCCGCACCACCCGUUACCUUGUGACCCAGCCCAGUAAAUAGGCUGAGCUUUGAAGAUGCGAAGUCUCAUUAACCUGCGUCUGAGCUCAGUGUUUGGCUUCACCCUGGAGAGGCACAUGCCCGUGCUCCCGCUCUGGACCUGGAAGUAGCUUUCCUCUCACCCCGCCAUCUGGAGGGAGACAGUGCCGUGUUCAGAUGCUCACGGCCCCUCAGCCUUAGAGAAGCACAGGAACUCUCCAGGCUCAGGAGACUGAAUCCUUGCAUUUGAGCUGUUGCUGAAUGCCAGUCCUGAGCUAGUUUCCCCCCAGGCCUUGCAUGUCCCCACAUCAAACACUCGGGAGCAGUUCCCUGUCCAGUGACUGAGGCUGGGUUAUUGUUUCGUUGGAUUAACCAGAAUAUCUCCCUUUUUGGGCUGAUGGGUAGAUAGAUUGAAGUACAGUGUAUCGAGGAUUUAGCAUAGGGCCUGGCCCCAGGAAGGGGCAAAUUCAUGCUGGUUCCUGUUCCUUUGUCCUGUCCUGCUCCUCAUCCCUCAUCCUGCUCCCCAGCAUACCCUCCUUUGUCCUCUCUUCCCUGAAAAGUACUCCAGAAACUUGAAAGAAAGCCUAGAGGGCUUCCUGAAGGUGAUGUCCCUAUACCCAAAGCAGGAUGUAUAUUUUCCAAUAAAACAAUGGCCCCUAUUUCUAGAAUAUCUGCUGUGCGCCAUGCCCAGUAGUCGGUGUGCCAUCUCACCGGAUUCUUAUCGCAGCCCUUCCAGGUUUCAGUUUGCCCGUUUUUCAGUUGAGGAAAUUCAGAUGAGACGCAGAGAAAAUGCGUAGCUUACCCCAAGGCCACCGAGGUUAUCUGAGCCUGGGGAGUGUGACAUCAGAGCCUGGGCAUUUAACCCCCACGGGGUCCUUGUUUGUGUCAUAUUUGUGUCUGUGUCGGCGUUGAGCCUCUUCCCAGCUGCCCUUAGUACCCUUCUUCCUGCUCUGGCUCCUCUGAGCAGCUGUGCCUACCUCCCCAAGGGACUGGGCCCUUCGUACCUCUGCCCCCCACUUUGGAUCCUCUAUGCCUUCAGUCAAGCAACGGCCAUUUGUCCUGGACCACACCUCUCAGUCCACUGAAUGAAUAUAGAAAGAGAAGGGAAAGAAAGGAGACCAGGUCAAGUGUGAGCCUGGCUGGGGCCAUAGCCAUGAUGGUUGGCAGGCUCAUGGGAAGGGAAAAGGCGCCAGCGAUGGGGCAGCUGGCAACGCCAAUCGGAGGGUCACUAUUUAGGGCCCAGCAUCAAGCUCUGGACAGUCUAGGAAGCAAACUCCCACUAUGAGAGAAGUAGCUGGAAAAACUCAAGCAGUGUUAGGUCCCCAGCAAAGCAGACAGAGGCGUCAGAGCUGGGCUCCUGAUCUGUGGGGCAACAAAGUGCUGGGAGGGAAACUGAGGCAGGAACCUUGUCCUCCAUGCUGGCCCAACCCAGGGGUCCACAUGCAGGGUUCUGACCCCUCGCAUGACCUGGCCGUGAAGCCUUAGGCCUGGGGAUGGAAGAACUUUAUCCCAGUCCCAGGGGUCAUUACUAAAGCUGUUGAGACUGCCUGUUCGGAUGGUCCCAGACCUGGGUAGUGCUGGGUCCACGGGUGGGUGUGUGCAUUCCAGCUCAGGGGGCUGGGAGAGAAAAUCGGGUGAGAAGAGGUGAAGGUGGCGCCUCUCAGCCCCCCAUCUCCCCUGCCAUAGGAUCCUGCAUGCACAGAGCUCAGCCUCCAGACCUCUGGGG